rnacentral:rRNA from 2 species
UUUGGUUAAGUUAGAAAGGGCGCACGGUGGAUGCCUUGACACUAGGAGUCGAUGAAGGACGGGACUAACGCCGAUAUGCUUCGGGGAGCUGUAAGUAAGCUUUGAUCCGAAGAUUUCCGAAUGGGGAAACCCACCAUACGUAAUGGUAUGGUAUCCUUAUCUGAAUACAUAGGGUAAGGAAGACAGACCCAGGGAACUGAAACAUCUAAGUACCUGGAGGAAGAGAAAGCAAAUGCGAUUUCCUGAGUAGCGGCGAGCGAAACGGAACAUAGCCCAAACCAAGAGGCUUGCCUCUUGGGGUUGUAGGACAUUCUAUACGGAGUUACAAAGGAACGAGGUAGACGAAGCGACCUGGAAAGGUCCGUCGUAGAGGGUAACAACCCCGUAGUCGAAACUUCGUUCUCUCUUGAAUGUAUCCUGAGUACGGCGGAACACGUGAAAUUCCGUCGGAAUCUGGGAGGACCAUCUCCCAAGGCUAAAUACUCCCUAGUGAUCGAUAGUGAACCAGUACCGUGAGGGAAAGGUGAAAAGCACCCCGGAAGGGGAGUGAAAGAGAUCCUGAAACCGUGUGCCUACAAAUAGUCAGAGCCCGUUAACGGGUGAUGGCGUGCCUUUUGUAGAAUGAACCGGCGAGUUACGAUCCCGUGCGAGGUUAAGCUGAAGAGGCGGAGCCGCAGCGAAAGCGAGUCUGAAUAGGGCGUUUAGUACGUGGUCGUAGACCCGAAACCAGGUGAUCUACCCAUGUCCAGGGUGAAGUUCAGGUAACACUGAAUGGAGGCCCGAACCCACGCACGUUGAAAAGUGCGGGGAUGAGGUGUGGGUAGCGGAGAAAUUCCAAUCGAACCUGGAGAUAGCUGGUUCUCCCCGAAAUAGCUUUAGGGCUAGCCUUAAGUGUAAGAGUCUUGGAGGUAGAGCACUGAUUGGACUAGGGGUCCUCAUCGGAUUACCGAAUUCAGUCAAACUCCGAAUGCCAAUGACUUAUCCUUAGGAGUCAGACUGCGAGUGAUAAGAUCCGUAGUCAAAAGGGAAACAGCCCAGACCGCCAGCUAAGGUCCCAAAGUGUGUAUUAAGUGGAAAAGGAUGUGGAGUUGCUUAGACAACUAGGAUGUUGGCUUAGAAGCAGCCACCAUUUAAAGAGUGCGUAAUAGCUCACUAGUCGAGUGACUCUGCGCCGAAAAUGUACCGGGGCUAAAUACACCACCGAAGCUGCGGAUUGAUACCAAUGGUAUCAGUGGUAGGGGAGCGUUCUAAGGACAGUGAAGUCAGACCGUAAGGACUGGUGGAGUGCUUAGAAGUGAGAAUGCCGGUAUGAGUAGCGAAAGACGGGUGAGAAUCCCGUCCACCGAAUGCCUAAGGUUUCCUGAGGAAGGCUCGUCCGCUCAGGGUUAGUCAGGACCUAAGCCGAGGCCGACAGGCGUAGGCGAUGGACAACAGGUUGAUAUUCCUGUACCACCUCUUUAUCGUUUGAGCAAUGGAGGGACGCAGAAGGAUAGAAGAAGCGUGCGAUUGGUUGUGCACGUCCAAGCAGUUAGGCUGAUAAGUAGGCAAAUCCGCUUAUCAUAAAGGCUGAGCUGUGAUGGGGAAGCUCCUUAUGGAGCGAAGUCUUUGAUUCCCCGCUGCCAAGAAAAGCUUCUAGCGAGAUAAAAGGUGCCUGUACCGCAAACCGACACAGGUAGGCGAGGAGAGAAUCCUAAGGUGUGCGAGAGAACUCUGGUUAAGGAACUCGGCAAAAUGACCCCGUAACUUCGGGAGAAGGGGUGCUUUCUUAACGGAAAGCCGCAGUGAAUAGGCCCAAGCGACUGUUUAGCAAAAACACAGCUCUCUGCGAAGCCGUAAGGCGAAGUAUAGGGGGUGACACCUGCCCGGUGCUGGAAGGUUAAGGAGAGGGGUUAGCGUAAGCGAAGCUCUGAACUGAAGCCCCAGUAAACGGCGGCCGUAACUAUAACGGUCCUAAGGUAGCGAAAUUCCUUGUCGGGUAAGUUCCGACCCGCACGAAAGGUGUAACGAUUUGGGCACUGUCUCAACCAGAGACUCGGUGAAAUUAUAGUACCUGUGAAGAUGCAGGUUACCCGCGACAGGACGGAAAGACCCCGUGGAGCUUUACUGUAGCCUGAUAUUGAAUUUUGGUACAGUUUGUACAGGAUAGGCGGGAGCCAUUGAAACCGGAGCGCUAGCUUCGGUGGAGGCGCUGGUGGGAUACCGCCCUGACUGUAUUGAAAUUCUAACCUACGGGUCUUAUCGACCCGGGAGACAGUGUCAGGUGGGCAGUUUGACUGGGGCGGUCGCCUCCUAAAGUGUAACGGAGGCGCCCAAAGGUUCCCUCAGAAUGGUUGGAAAUCAUUCGUAGAGUGCAAAGGCAUAAGGGAGCUUGACUGCGAGACCUACAAGUCGAGCAGGGACGAAAGUCGGGCUUAGUGAUCCGGUGGUUCCGCAUGGAAGGGCCAUCGCUCAACGGAUAAAAGCUACCCCGGGGAUAACAGGCUUAUCUCCCCCAAGAGUCCACAUCGACGGGGAGGUUUGGCACCUCGAUGUCGGCUCAUCGCAUCCUGGGGCUGUAGUCGGUCCCAAGGGUUGGGCUGUUCGCCCAUUAAAGCGGUACGCGAGCUGGGUUCAGAACGUCGUGAGACAGUUCGGUCCCUAUCCGUCGUGGGCGUAGGAAAUUUGAGAGGAGCUGUCCUUAGUACGAGAGGACCGGGAUGGACGCACCGCUGGUGUACCAGUUGUUCUGCCAAGGGCAUAGCUGGGUAGCUAUGUGCGGAAGGGAUAAGUGCUGAAAGCAUCUAAGCAUGAAGCCCCCUCAAGAUGAGAUUUCCCAUAGCGUAAGCUAGUAAGAUCCCUGAAAGAUGAUCAGGUUGAUAGGUUCGAGGUGGAAGCAUGGUGACAUGUGGAGCUGACGAAUACUAAUAGAUCGAGGACUUAACCAUAUAA